ACCCUCAAUUCUAUGCUACAGGCAUAGUAAUAAUUUCUGAUAUUUCUCAGCAUUUAUUCUGUGCCAGCCACUAUUCUAGGGGCUAAAUUGCACAACAACCCUGUAAGAUAGAAAACAGGUUUCUUUCAAUGUCUCAGCCUUUCUUUCUCUCGCUUCCAGGAUUUUGCACACGCUGUUCACACUGCUCUCUGCCUGAAACACUCUACUUUCUUUUCCCUUGCUCUUUGACCCUCUCUCAACUGGCUAAUUCAUACUAACACUUUAGGCCCCAGUUUAUUCAAUACUUCCUCCAAGAAGCGUUCCUCACUUCCUAAAUCUGGGUAUAUGUGCCACCCUCACUGCCUAUAUUCCCAUUACACCCUGAACUCCCCCAUCAGAAUACUGUUUACUGGUCUAUACCUCACACUGUAUUUUAUGUUUUCUUUGGGGAAGGGGUGUAUCUCUAUUACCAUUGUAACUCCAUUCCCAGAAUCGAGCACAAUGCCUGGCAUAGAAGAGAUGCUCAAUCACUAUAUGUUGAGUAAAUGAAAAAACCUUAAACAAAGGUUGCUAAUAGCAUUAUGUCUCUAAUACCAGCCAGGGCAGAAAGAAAUGCCUCCCAGUAUGUAAAAUUAGAGAAAACCAUCAAUGUCUAUAAAUUCAAGAAUGGCGAUCAACAGUAUCAACAUAGCCUAACUCAUUAUCAAAUAUUCUUUAACCAGUUAAGAAACAAACAAGAUUGGACAGAUUUGGGAGUUCUAUCCAGAAUGUUAUUUCAACAAAUCUCAUAAGGUAAAUUUUAGCUUGACAUACGAUUCUGUAGCAAAUAAAUCUCCUUUCCAGGUUCUACCCUAUCAGGCCAACAUGUUCGGCUUGAAUUCUGUCUGUCCCAGAAUUAUGGAUCCUUUCACAUGUAAGAUUUGUAAUAGUAAUUCAUUCAUUUAUGGAAAAUGCAGUCUUGUAGGGAUAACAAGAGAAUAUGUAUUUGGGGGUUAGGUAUGUCUGUAUUUUCAGAGUAGUAUCUACCGCUGAUCCUUAUUUAAAAGCCUGCUGAGUCGUUGCCUUGCCCUAAUACUUAAAAACUCAAGCAUCUAUUUAUGGCAAUUAUUAUUAUUUUUUGAGACAGAGUUUC
rnacentral:lncRNA from 1 species